AACGCGAAGAACCUUACCAGGAAAAAGACAUGACGGUAGUAGUGAAGCGAAAGCGGAACGACCCUUCGGGGAGCCGUCACAGGUGAUGCAUGGCUGUCGUCAGCUCGUGCCGUGAGGUGUUUGGUUAAGUCCACUAACGAGCGCAACCCCUAGCGCCAGUUACAAGUGUCUGGCGCGACUGCCGGUAUUAAGCCGGAGGAAGGUGGGGAUGACGUCAAGUCAGCAUGUCCUUUAUACCCUGGGCGACACACACGCUACAAUGGCCAGCACAAUGGGUCGCCAAGCCGUGAGGCGGAGCCAAUCCUAAAAAGCUGGUCUCAGUUCGGAUUGCAAAAGCUGCAACCCGCCUGCAUAAAAGUCGGAGUUGCUAGUAACCGCAGGACAGCUAUACUGUUCGGUGAAUACGUUCCGGGGUCUGUACACACCG
rnacentral:rRNA from 1 species